rnacentral:rRNA from 1 species
CCCUUAGAUGUUCUGGGCCGCACGCGUGCUACACUGAGUGGAUCAGCGGGUCAGGUUGCGCGAAAGCGUUUCCUAAUCUUUAAAUCCGCUCGUGAUGGGGAUUGACGGUUGCAAUUUUCUGUCAUGAACGAGGAAUUCCUUGUAAGCGCGGGUCAUCAUCCCGCGCUGAAUACGUCCCUGCCCUUUGUACACACCGCCCGUCGCUCCUACCGAUUGAGUGGUCCGGUGAGGCUUUGGGAUCUGAGCGGAAAGAGCGUUUCGCUGUUUCUGCUCGGAAAACUCAGUCGAACCUUAUCAUUUAGAGGAAGGAGAAGUCGUAACA